GUUUGCAUUGGCAGUACAUUUAUUAAAAUUUGAACAAUACACAGAAGAUUAGUAUGGGCUUUGUGCAAGGAUGUCGUGAAAACUUGUGAAAAGUGUUCUAUAUGUUU